rnacentral:rRNA from 1 species
UACAGAGGGGGCAAGCGUUGUUCGGAAUUACUGGGCGUAAAGGGCGCGUAGGCGGCCUGCUAAGUCGAACGUGAAAUCCCCGGGCUCAACCCGGGAACUGCGUCCGAUACUGGCAGGCUUGAAUCCGGGAGAGGGAUGCGGAAUUCCAGGUGUAGCGGUGAAAUGCGUAGAUAUCUGGAGGAACACCUGCGGCGAAGGCGGGUUGCUGGGCCGACACUGACGCUGAGGCGCGAAAGCCAGGGGAGCGAACGGG